rnacentral:lncRNA from 1 species
UUUAAUUGUGAUACGCUGAGCUAGAAGCAAAACUUAGAAACAAUAAAUGCUCAAUGACACAAGACGCAGUCUUGGAUUAUGUAUUUGUGUUCUUUUACCAGAAUCUGGUUCUGCAAUUACCGCUUCCUGUAUUGGUUUGGGAAACUCUACAACGCCUCCACUUGGACAAGCAGGAAAACCAGUGCUGUGAUACAAUGGGAAGACUGUGCUAGCAUGCUGCUAGAAAAGGAUAUUGCUUAUAUUCCUGUUGAUGAUUCUGGAUGAAAAUAAGGAACCAGUCUUAACUUCAGGAAAUAUUGUGGUAAAGUAAGCAAACUAAAUAUUUUUGAAACUUCUGCCUCUUUAGUGCAUAACUGCUACCAUAAUAAAAUUGAGCUUUGUAAUUAAUGGAUAGACA